UGGGGAAUUUUGGACAAUGGGCGAAAGCCUGAUCCAGCAAUGCCGCGUGCAGGAUGAAGGCCUUCGGGUUGUAAACUGCUUUUGUACGGAACGAAAAAGCUUCUCCUAAUACGAGAGGCCCAUGACGGUACCGUAAGAAUAAGCACCGGCUAACUACGUGCCAGCAGCCGCGGUAAUACGUAGGGUGCAAGCGUUAAUCGGAAUUACUGGGCGUAAAGCGUGCGCAGGCGGUUAUAUAAGACAGAUGUAAAAUCACCGGGCUCAACCUGGGACCUGCAUUUGUGACUGCAUAGCUAGAGUACGGUAGAGGAGGAUGGAAUUCCGCGUGUAGCAGUGAAAUGCGUAGAUAUGCGGAGGAACACCGAUUGCGAAGGCAGCUUACUAUGGUUUUAUUGACGCUGAGGCACGAAAGCGUGGGGAUCAAACA
rnacentral:rRNA from 1 species